UACAGAGGGUGCGAGCGUUAAUCGGAAUUACUGGGCGUAAAGGGCGCGUAGGCGGUGAGAUGUGUGGGAUGUGAAAGCCCUGGGCUUAACCUAGGAAGUGCAUCCCAAACUAUCUGACUGGAGUAUAGGAGAGGGUGGCGGAAUUUCCGGUGUAGCGGUGAAAUGCGUAGAGAUCGGAAGGAACGUCAAUGGCGAAGGCAGCCACCUGGCCUAAUACUGACGCUGAGGCGCGAAAGCGUGGGGAGCGAACAGG
rnacentral:rRNA from 1 species